CGGGGUGCACCAGGCGCGAAAACUCCACAAUGUACGGAAGUACGAUGGGGUUAUCUCGAGUGCAGUCCGAUAAGGGCUGCUUUUCCAUAGAGUAAUAUCCUGUGGGAAUAAGAGGGGGGCAAGACUGGUGUCAGCCGCCGCGGUAACACCAGCCCCUCGAGUGGUGGGGACUAUUAUUUGGCCUAAAGCGUCCGUAGCUGGCUGUAUCCGUCCCCCGUUAAAUCCAGCGUCCUAAGCGUUGGACCGCGGGUGAUACCAUACAGCUAGAGGGUGGGAUAGGUGAGCGGUAUUUAUGGGGUAGGGGCGAAAUCCUUUGAUCCCAGGAGGACCACCAGUGGCGAAGGCUGCUCACUAGAACACGCCUGACGGUCAGGGACGAAAGCUGGGGCAGCGAACCGGAUUAGAUACCCGGGUAGUCCCAGCUGUAAACGAUGCUAGCUAGGUGUUGGGUCGGCCACGCGCCGCCCCAGUGCCGCAGGGAAGCCGUUAAGCUAGCCGCCUGGGGAGUACGGCCGCAAGGCUGAAACUUAAAGGAAUUGGCGGGGAGCACAAGGGCGAUCGCG
rnacentral:rRNA from 1 species